rnacentral:lncRNA from 1 species
GAUUUAUAGUUCAGUUCAGUUUAUAAUAACCAUUAUUGUGCAUUUGUGUGUUGUUUGAUUCUAAAAGUCCAAGGGAAUUUUGGGUUUCUAUUGACAUUCUUGUCUAUUGGAUUGCUACCCAUUUGGUCAGAUCUUUUCAACUCUAAACUUCUAAUUUUUGUACAUAGGAUAGUCUCUUCAUCUCCUCCCCAUUUCUUUAAUUUCAAAAUCUCUCCCUCCAAUUU